rnacentral:rRNA from 1 species
UGCAUUCCAUCAAGCAAAUCUAUCUGCUUCAAAUAUUGAUCUAUCCAUAUCCACUCCUCCCAAAACUGAACAAUCUACACAUAGAUAACCAUAACAAUCGUUAUAAUCCCUUGAUUCUUCUUGGGGACUUCACGCCAAUAGCUUGACCUAACUUCAGAGGGAUUUUAUCAACUCCUUAUUAACCCCCAGUAGCCCAAGCAUGUACAUAUUGACGCUGGAGCAGGGCUACCAGCCCCCAACCCAACAAUUAUGUCUGGGGACAAAAGACCAUUCGGCAUCAUGGGAGUACUAGCCUUGGAGCCAAGUUAUUUUCCUCUAGUAAGCACCAAACAGGUGUGUGUACUCUGAGGGUUUAGCUCAUUGGAAUUGACCGGAUGAAUGCUGCAAAACAAGAUGCCGGUCUGUUUUAGAAAUAGCCAGCCUGCAAAGGAUCGACAGAUAGCUGGUAUCAGAUAUUUUGUUGACAUUGGGCCUCAUUACACGGUAGGCGGUGAGCCAUGGUGCUAUUAGCGCCAUGGCUCAUGCCGGUAAAAUACCGGCACCACCUUGGCGGAAAGGGGAUUUACCGCCCAUCCCAAGGUUGGAGGGGGCGGUAAAUCCCCCUUCCGCCAUUGCCCUUCCCCAGCCCCAUAGGGCUCAAUGGGAAUGGGGAAGGCGCUAAUUACGGCACCGCAAUUUAGCGGUGCCGUAAUUAGCUCCGAGGUCCCUUAGCGGGUUGGUAUUUAACGCCUGCAAAAACUCCAACCCGCUAAGGGACCUCGUAGUAAAGGCGGCAGGGAUUUACCGGUACCGGUAUUUUACCGGUACCGGUAAAUCCCUACGCCUACCGUGUAAUGAGGCCCAUUGACUAUAUGCCAUUGGAGGGACUCUUUAGUAAAAAAUGAAUUUUGUGCUGCGCUGCUGCCGUCGGCGCCAAAUUCAUUUUACUACAUUGCAAAUAUGUGCCGGCGGCGGGCAGCUUAACAACAUUGCAAGCCGCCGCCGGCCGGCACAUAUUUGCAUGUUAGUAAAAUGAAUUUGGUGCCGACGGCAGCAGCAGCACCAAAUCAUUUUACUAAUUUGCAAAUAUGUGCCGGCGGCGCCGCUUGCAAUGUUGUUAAAUCGCGGUGGCUUAACAACAUUGCAAGCUGCCGCCAGCACAUAUUUACACGUGAGUAAAAUUAAUUUGGUGCUGCGGCUGUCGCGGCGACCGUGGCAUGGUGGUCGACUGGACUGACUUACCUCGAAGUCACUGGCCUGGCUUCCAGUGGGGUGGAUGAUCGUGGAUAGAUCAAUGCCUGCCUGGACACAGCAGCCUCAGAGAAGAGAACCACCGACCACACAUGUUUUCCGCUGCUCGCCGCACGUGCAAUAAUCAAAAUGGAGGCCAACAUGGCGUUGCAGCACGCGGUGGCCACGCCCCCUCCUCCUCUGAUUGGUCAAUGGCCAGAGGUCGCAAGAGAUUGACAGGGUCGCUGGCCAAUAGCCAGCAGUCGCUCUUGCAACCUCUGGCGACCCCCAAAUGACGUCGCUGGCCUCUGCAUGUUGGAACAAUGUAGGUUAGGGAAGUCGUCAAGUCAGAUCUGUUACCUUGGGAUAAGGAUUGGCUCUAAGCACUGGGUCGGUCGGGCUGGGGUGCGAAGCGCAGCAUGCGCCGCAGCUGGACGAGGCAGCUCAUCCCCUGUGGGUGGCGUCGACUCUGGAUGCGAGCCGGGUCCUCUCUGGGAUCGACCCAGCUGUGGUGGUUGCCUCUCUCUCUGUUCCCCUUCCGGGGUUCGGUGCUGACGUUCUGCCUCAGCAAACACCUAGCAGCUGACUUAGAACUGGCGCAGACCAGGGGAAUCUGACUGUUUAAUUAAACAAAGCAUCGCGAAGGCCUGCGGUGGGUGUUGAUGCAAUGUGAUUUCUACCCAGUGCUCUGAAUGUCAAAGUGAAGAAAUUCAAUGAAACGCGGGUAAACGGCGGGAGUAACUAUGACUCCCUUAUGGCAGCCAAAUGCCUUGUCAUCUAAUUAGUGACAUGUAAAAAUGGAUUAACGAGAUUCCCACUGUCCCUACUUACUAGCUAGCGAAACCACAGCCAAGGAACGGGCUUGGCAUCAGUGGGGAAAGAAGACACCAUUGAGCUUGCCUCUAGUCUGGCACUGUGAAAAGACAUGAGAGGUGUAGGAUAAGUGAAAUACCACUACUCUUAUUGUUUUUCACUAACCCGGUGAGGAGGGGGGCGAGCCCCGUGGGGCUCUCACUUCUGGCUCCCGGCACCCGCUGUGCACGACCCGCUCCGGGGACAGUGGCAGGUGGGGAGUUUCACUGGGGCGGUACACCUGUCAAACGAUAACACAGGUGUCCUAAGGUAAGCUCAGGAAGGACAGAUUUUUCAGUAUGAAUACAGACCGUGAAAACGGGGCCUCAUGAUCCUUCUGACUUUUGGUGUUUCAAGCAGAAAGGUGUCAGAAAACUGGCUCGUGUGGCCAAGCAUUAGAAAGAUCAAAAAGAGACGUCGCUAUGAUGUCGGCUCUUCCUAUCAUUGUGAUACACAAUUCACCAAGCAUUGGAUUGGUCACCCACUAAUAGGGAACGUGAGGUGGGGUUAGAUCGGCGUGAGAAAGGUUAGUUUUACCCUACUGAUGAUGUGUUGUUGUAAUAGUACUCCUGCUCAGUACAAGAGGAAACACAGUUUCAGACAUUUGGUGUAUGUGCUUGGCUGAGGAGCCAAUGGGGCGAAGCUACCAUCUGUGGGAUUAUGACUGAGUGCCCCUAAGUCAUAACCCACGUUAAACCGUAACGAUACUGCUGCGCUGUCGAGCCUCGGUUGGCCUAGGAUAGCCAGCCGAUGGGCUGGUCGUAGAGCCGCUCGCCUCGGGAUUCGAGUGGGGACAGAAGUUGGCCACCUCUCUCACCCCCGUAGUGUACCGCAU